UACGUAGGGUGCAAGCGUUAAUCGGAAUUACUGGGCGUAAAGCGUGCGCAGGCGGCUUUGCAAGACAGAUGUGAAAUCCCCGGGCUUAACCUGGUAACUGCAUUUGUGACUGCAUGGCUAGAGUGCGGCAGAGGGGGAUGGAAUUCCGCGUGUAGCAGUGAAAUGCGUAGAUAUGCGGAGGAACACCGAUGGCGAAGGCAAUCCCCUGGGCCUGCACUGACGCUCAUGCACGAAAGCGUGGGGAGCAAACAGG
rnacentral:rRNA from 1 species